UACGUAGGGUGCGAGCGUUGUCCGGAAUUACUGGGCGUAAAGAGCUCGUAGGUGGUUUGUCGCGUUGUUCGUGAAAUCUCACGGCUUAACUGUGAGCGUGCGGGCGAUACGGGCAGACUUGAGUACUGCAGGGGAGACUGGAAUUCCUGGUGUAGCGGUGGAAUGCGCAGAUAUCAGGAGGAACACCGGUGGCGAAGGCGGGUCUCUGGGCCAUUACUGACACUGAGAAGCGAAAGCAUGGGGAGCGAACAGG
rnacentral:rRNA from 1 species